rnacentral:rRNA from 1 species
CGCGUAGGCGGAUUGUCAAGUCUGAUGUGAAAGCCCGGGGCUCAACCCCGGAAGUGCAUUGGAAACUGGCAGUCUUGAGUUCGGGAGAGGAAGGCAGAAUUCCUGGUGUAGGGGUGAAAUCCGUAGAUAUCAGGAGGAAAAUCAGUGGCGAAGGCGGCCUUCUGGAACGUAACUGACGCUGAGGCGCGAAAGCGUGGGGAGCAAACA